GAGGGUAUAGCUCAGUGGUAGAGUGCAUGCUUAGCAUGCACGAGGUCCUGGGUUCAAUCCCCAGUACCUCCA
rfam:Camelus ferus unplaced genomic scaffold scaffold533, whole genome shotgun sequence.